rnacentral:rRNA from 1 species
AUUGAACGCUGGCGGCACGCCUAACACAUGCAAGUCGAGCGGCAGCGAGACUAGUAGCAAUACUAGUUGUCGGCGAGCGGCGGACGGGUAAGUAACACGUAGGAAUCUGCCCUUAAGCGGGGGAUAACCAAGGGAAACUUUGGCUAAUACUGCAUAAUCUCGAGAGAGCAAAGCUGCCCGCAAGGGUGGCACUGGAGGAGGAGCCUGCGUCCGAUUAGCUAGUUGGUGGGGUAAUGGCCUACCAAGGCGAUGAUCGGUAACUGGUCUGAGAGGACGACCAGUCACACUGGGACUGAGACACGGCCCAGACUCCUACGGGAGGCAGCAGUGGGAAUAUUGGACAAUGGGGGCAACCCUGAUCCAGCGAUGCCGCGUGAGUGAAGAAGGCCUUCGGGUCGUAAAGCUCUUUAGGUUGGGAAGAAGGGUAUUGGCUGAAUAAUCCAGUACUUUGACGGUACCGACAGAAUAAGCACCGGCAAACUCUGUGCCAGCAGCCGCCGUAAAAC